AACGAACGCUGGCGGCAUGCCUAACACAUGCAAGUCGAACGAGACCUUCGGGUCUAGUGGCGCACGGGUGCGUAACGCGUGGGAACCUGCCCUUAGGUUCGGAAUAACUCCCCGAAAGGGGUGCUAAUACCGGAUAAUGUCUUCGGACCAAAGAUUUAUCGCCUUUGGAUGGGCCCGCGUUGGAUUAGCUAGUUGGUAGGGUAAAAGCCUACCAAGGCGACGAUCCAUAGCUGGUCUGAGAGGAUGAUCAGCCACACUGGGACUGAGACACGGCCCAGACUCCUACGGGAGGCAGCAGUGGGGAAUAUUGGACAAUGGGCGAAAGCCUGAACCAGCAAUGCCGCGUGAGUGAUGAAGGCCGUAGGGUUGUAAAGCUAUUUUACCCGGGAUGAUAAUGACAGUACCGGGAGAAUAAGCUCCGGCUAACUCCGUG
rnacentral:rRNA from 1 species